GAUGAACGCUGGCGGCGUGCCUAAUACAUGCAAGUCGAGCGAACGGACGAGAAGCUUGCUUUUCUGAUGUUAGCGGCGGACGGGUGAGUAACACGUGGAUAACCUACCUAUAAGACUGGGAUAACUUCGGGAAACCGGAGCUAAUACCGGAUAAUAUUUUGAACCGCAUGGUUCAAAAGUGAAAGACGGUCUUGCUGUCACUUAUAGAUGGAUCCGCGCUGCAUUAGCUAGUUGGUAAGGUAACGGCUUACCAAGGCAACGAUGCAUAGCCGACCUGAGAGGGUGAUCGGCAACACUGGAAAUGAGACACGGUCCAGACUCCUACGGGAGGCAGCAGUAGGGAAUCUUCCGCAAUGGGCGAAAGCCUGACGGAGCAACGCCGCGUGAGUGAUGAAGGUCUACGGAUCGUAAAACUCUGUUAUUAGGGAAGAACAUAUGUGUAAGUAACUGUGCACAUCUUGAAGGUACCUAAUCAGAAAGCCACGGCUAACUACGU
rnacentral:rRNA from 1 species